GCCGACAUAGUAUAAUGGCAUUACGCGUCCAUGGUAAGGAUGUAAUCGCAGUUCAAUUCUGCGUGUCGGCACCA
rnacentral:tRNA from 1 species